rnacentral:rRNA from 1 species
GAUGAACGCUAGCGACAGGCUUAACACAUGCAAGUCGAGGGGCAGCACGAUGUAGCAAUACAUUGGUGGCGACCGGCGCACGGGUGCGUAACACGUAUGCAACCUACCCAUAAGCGGGGAAUAACCCGGAGAAAUCCGGACUAAUACCGCAUAGUACGUUUGAGUGGCAUCACUUAAACUUUAAAGAUUUAUCACUUAUGGAUGGGCAUGCGCAUGAUUAGGUAGUUGGUUGAGGUAACGGCUCACCAAGCCUACGAUGGAUAGGGGAACUGAGAGGUUGGUCCCCCACACUGGUACUGAGACACGGACCAGACUCCUACGGGAGGCAGCAGUGAGGAAUCUUGGUCAAUGGACGGAAGUCUGAACCAGCCAUGUCGCGUGAAGGAGGACGGCCCUAAGGGUUGUAAACUUCUUUUGCAGGGGGAAUAAAGUAUUCCACGAGAUGGGAUAUUGCAAGUACGCUGCGAAUAAGGAUCGGCUAACUCCGUG